UGAGAGGAUUAUUGAAAUGCAGGGAGAAACCUUAAAGGUGCUCAAAGCUCUAGAAGCAGUAGUGUCUUACCUGAGGAAGUUUUUGGUUGAUCAUAGUGUUCUUCCUCUUUUUGAGAAAACUUACACUGCUCCAGUUUCUCAAGAACGCCAACCAGAUCCCUGGGCUGACAAGUCGUUGCUUCAUACUGCAACUCAGCCGUGAGUCGCAAUUGGAAUCACAACUCCCAUCCUCUGGACUUUCCAUUUAUGGACAAGAGGCUUCUCUUUCUUCAAUACGUUCUUCAGGACUUGGCCGUCCUGGUGCUCCUAUUGUUACUCAGGGCCUUGGAUUACAAGUUGUGAAAUAUUUGGCUGCCAAAUAUGAAGAGCUAGGGUGUGAAGUGAAAUGGAUGGGCAAGCCUGAUAAGGUGAUCUAGUCACAUUGGUCUGGUUACCGGUGUUAACUUCACUUCAUGUGAACCUUUAGCUUAAUACAUAUUUCUCUUGCACUUGACUGCCAAGAUGAAUUUUGAGCAAGGCUAGUUUUUGCUUUGAAGCAAAGUUUGGUGUUGAAAUUUUGUAGAUUGUUGCUCAUAUGUUUCUAGGCUAGCCUUUGUAGGUUUUGGGGUUUUCUUUUGUGACAUAUGUUCAAUCAUGAAUUUGGAAAGAAAAUUAAUGGAAAGCCCCAAUUUUUGGAUGAUUAUGAAAUGCAUUUCUUUUCCUAGCAGCAGCUAGAUGCAAACUUAGCUCAUCACGCUUGUCAAAAUGAAGUGAAGUAUAUAAAAGCAUAACAAAACAGUAAUGCCAAGGAAAACGAAGUCACUUGAGAGUUUAGAAAUCAGUAUCAAAAUGA